GAUGCACGCUGGCGGCGUGCUUAACACAUGCAAGUCGAACGGAAAGGCUCCUGCUUGCAGGGGUACUCGAGUGGCGAACGGGUGAGUAACACGUGGGUGAUCUGCCCUGCACUUCGGGAUAAGCCUGGGAAACUGGGUCUAAUACCGGAUAGGACGAUGGUUUGGAUGCCAUUGUGGAAAGUUUUUCGGUGUGGGAUGAGCUCGCGGCCUAUCAGCUUGUUGGUGGGGUAAUGGCCUACCAAGGCGUCGACGGGUAGCCGGCCUGAGAGGGUGUACGGCCACAUUGGGACUGAGAUACGGCCCAGACUCCUACGGGAGGCAGCAGUGGGGAAUAUUGCACAAUGGGCGCAAGCCUGAUGCAGCGACGCCGCGUGGGGGAUGACGGCCUUCGGGUUGUAAACUCCUUUCGUCAGGGACGAAGCGAAAGUGACGGUACCUGGAUAAGAAGCACCGGCUAACUACGUG
rnacentral:rRNA from 1 species